rnacentral:lncRNA from 1 species
UUAUAAUUAUAAAAUGCUACAUAUAAAAAAUAUUAUUAAUCAUGCAUUUCAAAGAUGGACCCAAUUUUUUUAAUAGGAAUAGGAGGCAUAUGGAAAGAAAAGAAUUUUAAAAAUCGCAUUAUUAGAAAGUAAUUGUGACACCCCUAAAAUAGGUAUAUAUUACCUAUUUUGAGUUGUCAAAUACAAGGUACAGAAAUAACUACAACUUUAUUUUUACAACAUAUAAACUGUGAAUUUAAAUACAGAUAUUGCCAUCUAGACAAUAUUCACAUACAAAUAAAUUCUCAUCAUAAUUAUUGAUACAUUAUUUUACAAAAAUGGUGAGGACUACUAAACAACUCUCUAAAACCAUCAUUCCAUACCCCGACUCGUACUCGCAAUUUAAUAGAAUACAAUAGACAACAAGUUUUAAAUCAAUACUCGCAGCGAAAAAUAUUAAUUCAUAGAAGAGUUACGUAGAGGAUGAAAUCUACUAAUAUCUAUGAAUUUAACAGUCCAUCAUCAAUAUUUUUAUCCCUGUAACAUCAAUUAAUAUAUAUCUGAAAUUAUAUAUUCAUCCUUGCACUACAGGCCAAUGACAUUCACCAGUUGGUCAUGUUCAUCAAACACCUGUUCAUUUUUGCACUACGGGCCAAAGAUAUUCAUCAGAAAUCAUUCAUCUUUGCACUACAGGCCAAAGAUAUUCAUCAG